UAGUAUAAUAUUUUUUGUAUCGUUAUUGUUAUUUAUUUAUUUAUUUAUGAUACUUAGAGCAAUUUUCAUUGAGUAUGUUGUUUCUUUUAAGGUUAAAGGAAUUUUUGUUUAUGAUACUUAGAACAACCUUUCAAAGAGUAUGUGAUUUCUUUUAUUGUUAAAAGGAAUCUUUAGAAUGAUCGGGGAUUUGAAAUCUAAUUUGACAAUUUUCUCAUAUUUGGUUCAAGUUUUUGAAAGAAAUUGAAACUUUAAAAGAGUUCAAUUUUACAUCAAUGAAAUUGAAAGUCGCUUCCAUCAACAAUAAGAAGAAUUAAAAUCCCAUUUAAAUUCUAUUAUCAACACCAACAAUCAUCACCACGACUACUCGACAACAUCAAUAACCACCACCCAUCAAGCCAUCACCCAUUGCAACCACCACCACCCCUACAACAUCACCUGUUUUGUUCUACUGUCUUCAAGUGUGUUUCUAGAGCCGAUUCCAUCAUCUUUACUUUCCUACUCUGCUGCUUUUCCCCACCUUUUGUUCUUCGUUUUAUGUCGCCCUCUCUCUACUAUUAUUUGUUUGGCACGGAUGCUUUUUAGCUUUUUUUUUAUGAUUAAUUUCCUUUUAUUUUUAUAGGUCGCGUGUGAUCCUUCCCCAACAGAUGAAAUCUUCCACCGCUUCACAUCUGCUUGCCACGAAUCUCUUUCCACCGCCUGUGCAAUUUAGUCGGCCCCUUUUCUACUUCGCUUGCAGUAUCGGGGCUUUUUUUUUCUACCUCUCUUGUAGUACAAAUUGAGAAACGGUGGAAAAUGAUGACGUUCGACACCUAGAAAGCUCAACCGAUAUGCAACUGAGAGGAGACGCGUCUCUUUCGCUUAUUCCUCCAUCACCUUAGGUUGCUCCUCUGAUUAAGCCAAAGCGCCGACUUUCUGUAUUUGGGUGAUGAUUCCUUCUUCAAUUUGUCUUCUAGACGACCAUCAUCGCUGCCUCCAUUGCUCGCUAUGGAUAUUCUGUUUGUCGUCGGCCUCUAGACUGGAGAAUGUGGCGGUUACCUACAUGGAUUCCUUGGCUUGACCCUCCACUAUUGCUCUUGAUAUCAACCAUAGUACCACAUCUACCUCUACCUUUGAAAUCAGGUUAGUACAGAUAGAUGUGUUUGCGGUUUUUUACGGGUUUACAAAAGAUGCACCCCAAGUGUUUGAUGUAACGUCUCAAAGAAAGUAUGACUCAAGUUCCCAAGUGUGUACAGAUAGAUGGGUUUGUGGUUUUUUUUGUUGCUUGCUUUGUGUUAUACUAGAUUUCUAACAAACGAUAAAAAAUUUCGUUGAUGCAUGUAAUUUUAGAGAGUUAAAAUUCAUUUGCAACGAAUUUUUUAACCAGCCAAUGCUGCAUAUUAGUCCAGUCCGUAGGAUGCGACUUAAAAAUUUUGUUCACUUAUUAGUUCAUAUUUUAUGUUUAUUUCCAAUUUAUUAUAUUUAAAAAUUUCAAUUUAUUUGGUGUGUUUCAAGUAAUGACUGCAACUUUUCAAUAACUUUAUACUGUGAAACAGCUUAUAAACAUAAGAUUUUAUAAAUUAUAAAAAAGAGAAUAUACUCUAAAAGGAUUAACUUUUCUGAUGAUUCCAACAGAAAAGUGUAUCCAUUUAAACAAUUUUCUCUAGAUUCGUUGUUAGCAACUUUAACAAAACUCCUUGCAACAUCAAGGUAUGAGGAUCACUGUAGAAAAAAGAGUAAAUAUAUUUUUAUGAUAUUAACAGUUGGAAAAUAAUUAGAUUUUAUGUAGUCAAUUUUCCAAAUGUUGUCCAAGAUUAUCUUAGUCUUUUUCUGGGCACCAUUUACUCUGUUCCACCAUAUGGAAUGAAAAGAUUUCCUGUUGCAGCAUUUCUCAUCAUUGUCACAGUAUUUGACAUUCUUUGCGUUACUAAUUACCAUUACUAAAGAUCUACCUGAUUUAGAGGAUCACCAAAAGUAAGUUUUUAAAAUAUGGAAUUUUAAUAUUUUUCCAUCUUUUUUUUAAUUGAUUAUGAUAUCGUUUUCCGGGUUUUAAAUUUCUACUUUUGCAACAUAACUUAGAGUAAGAAACAUUGGUUUACUACAAUCCGAUCUCCUUAUGGUGAAUUAUAUUUGGUUCAAUAGUUGCAGCAUUCUACUUGCCUCAGGUGAACACUUUAUAUAACAGGUAAUAUUAUUAGUGGAGCUUCACUUACCCUGUUGGCAGUUUCAAGCUAUCAGUAUAUUCUGUAUAAAUCUGGUCACUAUUGUUUAGAAAUUACAUAUGGAUUAUGUUUCAUCAAGCAAUCGAUUAAGUAGUUUGCAGAAAAGAGCUGCCAUAUGAUAUGCAUUGCAUAUGGUAGGGAUUUAUGCAAGAAAACUGAAAUAACAUUGAAUAAUAAGACAAAUGUCAUAAAGAAGUUCAAUAAUUAUAGUUAAUUGUUACUAAGUUUUUGGGCAUGCUUCCAUUGAUAUGCAGGUAUUAGUGUAUCUUAUACUGCUCCAACAAGACAUGGAUGCCUGAAGGUGGUUGAGAAUAACUGCUGUACUUCCAGAAGAGGAACUUUUAAUACCCUUUUGAUUUGUUUUCUGCUUAUAUUGGAGUGCAUUUUGGCUCUUAUGCUGUAAACAAAUAAUAAAAGGUGACAAAACCAUUAUAAUUUGUUAUAGGGAACAAGUAAUUGUAUUGGACAGAAGGUAUUCAGAGAUUAGUUAUGGAAAUUCGUAACUACUUAAUAGAAAAAGUCUUGGAUUUUUACAAUAUUGCCCUCAUGAAUCGAUAAUUACAUCCAGGGAGUUGGAGAUGGAUUACCAACUAAUGUCUGAAAAAAUACAAUUCUAACACUUUUGCAGAGAACCCUGUGCGUUCAGCUGGUGGACUUGUAUUGAUUUCCACUUAGUUCUUUUGGGUUUAGUUGUCCCGAAUACAUAUCCGGUUUAGUUGUCCCGAAUACAUAUCCGAUCCCCGCUCACUAGUUAUUAUUAUUAUUAUAUUUCAUACAUUUUUAAAUUAUUAUCAUUUGGUUAUGUCCGAUGCAUCUUCAUGUGUCACACCCCAAAACCGAUAACGGCGGAAAACGUUUCGGGGUGGAGGACGUCAUGUACAGAGUCAUCACAAUUGCAUAAUAGUAAAAACAAGAAACAUUCAACGGCGGAAAACGUUUCGGGGUGGAGGACGUCAUGUACAGUAUCAUCACAAUUGCAUAAUAGUAAAAACAAGAAACAUUCAACGGCGGAAAACGUUUCGGGGUGGAGGACGUCAUGUACAGUAUCAUCACAAUUGCAUAAUAGUAAAAACAAGAAACAUUCAACGGCGGAAAACGUUUCGGGGUGGAGGACGUCAUGUACAGUAUCAUCACAAUUGCAUAAUAGUAAAAACAAGAAACAUUCAA